rnacentral:lncRNA from 1 species
UUCAUAUUACAUAAGAAGCUUUUGCAAUAGAGUCUGCAAGCCCAUUAAACUUUCUUGGAGGGAAGGAGUGAAUGAGUGAACAAGAAACAACAUAAAAGGAGGAAAACGAUAGAGUUUCAAUGUCUAAGAAAACUCCGUGAAGAUUCUUUGGUUUACUAAUCAAAGCGAUGGCUCUGGCGAGCCCUAGUGAGUCUGAACGAAGCCAGAUCUUUGUGACGCCAAGAUGAAUGGUGUGUGAUAGUGCUACUCAAACGGCUAGAGCUUCCGCUACUAUAGCUGAUUGAACAUGGGUCUGAAAUUGUGAUCCAUGAAGCGUUGAAGUUUCUUGAUCUGAGAAGAUCUAUCCCAUGCAUGUUUCCUUCGAGCUCUGAUUCCGAGCAGCUACAUCGAAUCGUCCCCUGAGGCAUAGAUGGCAGUAGAGGUAAACAUGGUACCUUUAUAUUAUUGUUUGAUGUAUCCAAGGUCAAUUGAGCUACAGACCAUUCCACAGUUCUUCCGAGAGCUUUUGUGAUUGUCAAAUUCUUUUGUAGACUAAAUUUGAGUUUCUCGUUGAAUUUUUUUCACACUGCUG